GGCCUGACCGAGUAAGCGAAAGCUGAAAGCCGUGCCUUUUUAUAGAAGGAGAGAUAAACCAUCCCGAAAGGGUAAAUUUACAUAGUCUUGAUUCAAAGACGAACCCGAUAUGCGCGGGCGGACGCUUCUUGCAUGGGCCAUGGGUGGGCGUAUUCCCAGGCUUUCAUGCCUGACGCAUUUAGCAGCCAGAUUCACGCCAGACAUUAGGCUGUACGGGGUGUU
rnacentral:sRNA from 1 species